rnacentral:rRNA from 1 species
UCGCCAGACUCCUACGGGAGGCAGCAGUGGGGAAUAUUGGGCAAUGGGCGCAAGCCUGACCCAGCAACGCCGCGUGAAGGAAGAAGGCCCUCGGGUUGCAAACUUCUUUUGUCAGGGACGAAGAAAGUGACGGUACCUGACGAAUAAGCCACGGCUAACUACGUGCCAGCAGCCGCGGUAAUACGUAGGUGGCAAGCGUUAUCCGGAUUUACUGGGUGUAAAGGGCGUGUAGGCGGAAUGCCAAGUCAGCGGUAAAAUCGCGGGGCUCAACCUCGCUCCGCCGUUGAAACUGGCGUUCUUGAGUGGGCGAGAAGUAUGCGGAAUGCGUGGUGUAGCGGUGAAAUGCAUAGAUAUCACGCAGAACUCCGAUUGCGAAGGCAGCGCACCGGCGCCCUACUGACGCUCAGGCACGAAAGCGUGGGUAUCGAACAGGAUUAGAUACCCCCGUACA